rnacentral:rRNA from 1 species
GGACGAACGCUGGCGGCGUGCCUAAUACAUGCAAGUAGAACGCUGAAGGAGGAGCUUGCUUCUCUGGAUGAGUUGCGAACGGGUGAGUAACGCGUAGGUAACCUGCCUGGUAGCGGGGGAUAACUAUUGGAAACGAUAGCUAAUACCGCAUAAUAGUAGAUGUCGCAUGACAUUUGCUUAAAAGGUGCAAUUGCAUCACUACCAGAUGGACCUGCGUUGUAUUAGCUAGUUGGUGAGGUAACGGCUCACCAAGGCAACGAUACAUAGCCGACCUGAGAGGGUGAUCGGCCACACUGGGACUGAGACACGGCCCAGACUCCUACGGGAGGCAGCAGUAGGGAAUCUUCGGCAAUGGACGGAAGUCUGACCGAGCAACGCCGCGUGAGUGAAGAAGGUUUUCGGAUCGUAAAGCUCUGUUGUAAGAGAAGAACGAGUGUGAGAGUGGAAAGUUCACACUGUGACGGUAUCUUACCAGAAAGGGACGGCUAACUACGUG